CUACGGGGGGCUGCAGUGGGGAAUAUUGCACAAUGGGCGCAAGCCUGAUGCAGCCAUGCCGCGUGUAUGAAGAAGGCCUUCGGGUUGUAAAGUACUUUCAGCGGGGAGGAAGGGAGUAAAGUUAAUACCUUUGCUCAUUGACGUUACCCGCAGAAGAAGCACCGGCUAACUCCGUGCCAGCAGCCGCGGUAAUACGGAGGGUGCAAGCGUUAAUCGGAAUUACUGGGCGUAAAGCGCACGCAGGCGGUUUGUUAAGUCAGAUGUGAAAUCCCCGGGCUCAACCUGGGAACUGCAUCUGAUACUGGCAAGCUAGAGUCUGGUAGAGGGGGGUGGAAUUCCAGGUGUAGCGGUGAAAUGCGUAGAGAUCUGGAGGAAUACCGGUGGCGAAGGCGGCCCCCUGGACGAAGACUGACGCUCAGGUGCGAAAGCGUGGGGAGCAAACAGGAUUAGAUACCCUAGUAGUC
rnacentral:rRNA from 1 species